rnacentral:rRNA from 1 species
GACGAACGCUGGCGGCGUGCUUAACACAUGCAAGUCGUACGGAAAGGCCUGCUUUCCCUUGUGGAUUGCGGGUACUCGAGUGGCGAACGGGUGAGUAACACGUGAGUGAUCUGCCCCCAACUUGGGUAUAAGCCUGGGAAACUGGGUCUAAUUCCCGAUAGGACUGCAGGGUGGUGCCUGUGGUGGAAAACGAUUUUCUAGUGGUUGGGGAUGAGCUCGCGGCCUAUCAGCUUGUUGGUGGGGUAAUGGCCUACCAAGGCGGCGACGGGUAGCCGGCCUGAGAGGGUGGACGGCCACAUUGGGACUGAGAUACGGCCCAGACUCCUACGGGAGGCAGCAGUGGGGAAUAUUGCACAAUGGGCGGAAGCCUGAUGCAGCGACGCCGCGUGGGGGAUGACGGCCUUCGGGUUGUAAACUCCUUUCGACCGCGAGGAAGCCACCUGGUUGGAAGGGUGGUGACGGUAGUGGUAGAAGAAGCACCGGCUAACUACGUG